rnacentral:rRNA from 1 species
GACGAACGCUGGCGGCGUGCUUAACACAUGCAAGUCGAACGGAAAGGCCCUGCUUUUGUGGGGUGCUCGAGUGGCGAACGGGUGAGUAACACGUGAGUAACCUGCCCUUGAAUUUGGGAUAACUUCAGGAAACUGGGGCUAAUACCGGAUAGGAGCUCCUGCUGCAUGGUGGGGGUUGGAAAGUUUCGGCGGUUGGGGAUGGACUCGCGGCUUAUCAGCUUGUUGGUGGGGUAGUGGCUUACCAAGGCUUUGACGGGUAGCCGGCCUGAGCGGGUGACCGGCCACAUUGGGACUGAGAUACGGCCCAGACUCCUACGGGAGGCAGCAGUGGGGAAUAUUGCACAAUGGGCGGAAGCCUGAUGCAGCAACGCCGCGUGCGGGAUGACGGCCUUCGGGUUGUAAACCGCUUUCGCCUGUGACGAAGCGUGAGUGACGGUAAUGGGUAAAGAAGCACCGGCUAACUACGUG